AACGAGAAAGUAGAAGUUUAAGACAGAACCAAAUUCUGUAUCCAACAAAACACCAAAUAACCAAACAUUAAAGAGUUCAAAAACUAAUGAGCCUAAUAAUUUCUACAUGUGACAAUUCCAAACAUCAAAAACCCAAAGCAAUAGCCGAUACUUCAUAACUUCAUUUGGCUUGUAAGACAUCAAAUGACCAAACAUUAGGGUGGGAUCCACGGCACAUGGUUUCUAGAGACGCUAAAAAAGUAGAAAUACGAUUGCAUUGCAUGUACAAACAGAUGCGAUCAUAUCAGUACUAAUACAUCAGAUCCAAUCAGAACUUCGCAGUUAAGUGUGCUUGGGCGAGAGUAGUACUAGGAUAGGUGACCUCCCGAGAAGUCCUCGUGUUGCAUCCCUCAUUUUUGUUUUGGUUAAAACAUUUUAACUCUAUAACUAUAAAAUCAUGAGGCCAAACUUGCCAUGUGAUAGCUUUUCGAAAAUCCCAAUGAGAGCCCUCCGACGACAGAAGCAAGACAAUGAUAUGUACUAUUAU
rnacentral:sRNA from 1 species